rnacentral:rRNA from 1 species
UACAGAGGUGGCAAGCGUUGUUCGGAAUUACUGGGCGUAAAGGGCGCGUAGGCGGUUCGAUAAGUCCCGUGUGAAAUCCCUCGGCUCAACUGAGGAAUGGCACGGGAAACUGACGGGCUUGAGUUCGGGAGAGGGAAGCGGAAUUCCUGGUGUAGCGGUGAAAUGCGCAGAUAUCAGGAGGAACACCAAUGGCGAAGGCAGCUCGCUGGGACGGUACUGACGCUGAGACGCGAAAGCGUGGGGAGCAAACAGG